AGGGCACCACCAGGAGUGGAGCCUGCGGCUUAAUUUGACUCAACACGGGAAAACUUACCCGGCCCGGACACUGGAAGGAUUGACAGAUUGAGAGCUCUUUCUUGAUUCAGUGGGUGGUGGUGCAUGGCCGUUCUUAGUUGGUGGAGCGAUUUGUCUGGUUAAUUCCGAUAACGAACGAGACUCUAGCCUACUAAAUAGACUGUUCAGCUUUAUAGCCGGAAUCACCGGGCAUGUAGCUCUCACGGGUUGCAUGUUCGGCUCUGGUGACGUUGGCAGUGCUUCUUAGAGGGACAGGCGGCGGUUCAGCCGCACGAAACAGAGCAAUAACAGGUCUGUGAUGCCCUUAGAUGUCCGGGGCUGCACGCGCGCUACACUGAAGUGAUCAGCGUGCAAUUUACGUUUGGUGAUCUGUCAAGAUUGCCCAACCCGUUGAACCUUCUUCGUGAUUGGGAUAGGGGAUUGUAAGUAUUCCCCUUGAACGAGGAAUUCCCAGUAAGCGCAAGUCAUAAGCUUGCGUUG
rnacentral:rRNA from 1 species